rnacentral:rRNA from 1 species
GACGAACGCUGGCGGCGUGCCUAAUACAUGCAAGUCGAACGGUCUUUUCUAUGGAAGCUUGCUUCCACUGGGAAGAUAGUGGCGAACGGGUGAGUAACACGUGGGUAACCUGCCCAUAAGAGGGGGAUAACAUCCGGAAACGGGUGCUAAUACCGCAUAGGUUUCUUGGUCGCAUGAUCGAGAAAGGAAAGACGGCCUUUGUGCUGUCGCUUAUGGAUGGACCCGCGGCGUAUUAGUUAGUUGGUGAGGUAACGGCUCACCAAGACGAUGAUACGUAGCCGACCUGCGAGGGUGAUCGGCCACAUUGGGACUGAGACACGGCCCAAACUCCUACGGGAGGCAGCAGUAGGGAAUCUUCCGCAAUGGACGAAAGUCUGACGGAGCAACGCCGCGUGAGUGAAGAAGAUUUUCGGAUCGUAAAACUCUGUUGUCAGAGAAGAACAAGUCGGAGAGUAACUGCUCCGGCCUUGACGGUAUCUGACCAGAAAGCCACGGCUAACUACGUGCCAGCCGCCGCCGUAAGAC